rnacentral:rRNA from 1 species
CAGUCGCCACGGUAACACGUAGGUGGCAAGCGUUGUCCGGAAUUAUUGGGCGUAAAGGGCUCGCAGGCGGUUUCUUAAGUCUGAUGUGAAAGCCCCCGGCUCAACCGGGGAGGGUCAUUGGAAACUGGGAAACUUGAGUGCAGAAGAGGGGAGUGGAAUUCCACGUGUAGCGGUGAAAUGCGUAGAGAUGUGGAGGAACACCAGUGGCGAAGGCGACUCUCUGGUCUGUAACUGACGCUGAGGAGCGAAAGCGUGGGGAGCGAACAGGAUUAGAUACCCCUGUAGUCCCUGUCUCUUAUAA